rnacentral:rRNA from 1 species
UUUUGGACAAUGGGCGCAAGCCUGAUCCAGCCAUGCCGCGUGCAGGAUGAAGGCCUUCGGGUUGUAAACUGCUUUUGUACGGAACGAAAAGGUCUUUCCUAAUAAAGAAGGCUGAUGACGGUACCGUAAGAAUAAGCACCGGCUAACUACGUGCCAGCAGCCGCGGUAAUACGUAGGGUGCGAGCGUUAAUCGGAAUUACUGGGCGUAAAGCGUGCGCAGGCGGUCUUGCAAGACAGUGGUGAAAUCCCCGGGCUCAACCUGGGAACUGCCAUUGUGACUGCAAGGCUGGAGUACGGCAGAGGGGGAUGGAAUUCCGCGUGUAGCAGUGAAAUGCGUAGAUAUGCGGAGGAACACCGAUGGCGAAGGCAGUCCACUGGGCCUGUACUGACGCUCAUGCACGAAAGCGUGGGGAGCAAACAGG